rnacentral:snoRNA from 13 species
GUGCCCUUUUAAGGCUGAUGCAGUGCUUUAAGGGAGGAACACAGAAGUAUAAAGUGAGUUUCCAUAAAACCCAGGGAAGAGAUUAUAAAACUCUUCUUUGGAUCCUGUCUGGAGUCACAGCU